UACGUAGGGUGCAAGCGUUAAUCGGAAUUACUGGGCGUAAAGCGUGCGCAGGCGGCUUUGCAAGACAGAUGUGAAAUCCCCGGGCUCAACCUGGGAACUGCAUUUGUGACUGCAUGGCUGGAGUGCGGCAGAGGGGGAUGGAAUUCCGCGUGUAGCAGUGAAAUGCGUAGAGAUGCGGAGGAACACCGAUGGCGAAGGCAGCCCCCUGGGCCAAUACUGACGCUCAGGCACGAAAAGCGUGGGGAGCAAACAGG
rnacentral:rRNA from 1 species